AGGACGAACGCUGGCGGCGUGCUUAACACAUGCAAGUCGAACGGACUCCAACCUUCGGGUGAAGAGUCAGUGGCGAACGGGUGAGUAACACGUGAGAAACCUAUCCUGGUCUCUGGGAUAACAGCCGGAAACGGCUGCUAAUACCGGAUGCCGUCGGAGCGUCGCAUGGCGCGCUGACGAAAGGGUUACUGGAUCAGGAGGGUCUCGCGGCCUAUCAGCUAGUUGGUGGGGUAACGGCCUACCAAGGCGUCGACGGGUAGCUGGUCUGAGAGGAUGAUCAGCCACACUGGGACUGAGACACGGCCCAGACUCCUACGGGAGGCAGCAGUGGGAAUCUUGCGCAAUGGGCGAAAGCCUGACGCAGCAACGCCGCGUGCGGGAAGAAGGCCCUCGGGUUGUAAACCGCUUUCAGAAGGAACGAAACUGACGGUACUUCAGAAGAAGGUGCGGCCAACUACGUGCCAGCAGCCGC
rnacentral:rRNA from 1 species